AACGUACGCUGGCGGCACGCCUAACACAUGCAAGUCGAACGAAGUAGCAAUACUUAGUGGCAGACGGGUGAGUAACAUGUAGGUAUCUGCCCUUUGGCCUGGAAUAACACGAGGAAACUUGUGCUAAUACCGGAUAAGUCUUUACGGAGAAAGCUUUAUGCACCAUUGGAUGAGCCUGCACUUGAUUAGUUUGUUGGUGGGGUAAUGGCCUACCAAGACUGUGAUCAAUAGCUGAUUUGAGAGGAUGAUCAGCCACAUCGGGACUGAGACACGGCCCAAACUCCUACGGGAGGCAGCAGUGGGGAAUCUUGCACAAUGGAGGAAACUCUGAUGCAGCGAUGCCGCGUGAGUGAAGAAGGCCCUUGGGUUGUAAAGCUCUUUCGUCGGGGAAGAAAAUGACUGUACCCGAAUAAGAAGGUCCGGCUAACUUCGUGCCAGCAGCCGCGGUAAUACGAAGGGACCUAGCGUAGUUCGGAAUUACUGGGCUUAAAGAGUUCGUAGGUGGUUGAAAAAGUUAGGGGUGAAAUCCCAGAGCUUAACUCUGGAACUGCCAUUAAAACUUUUCAGCUAGAGUAUGAUAGAGGAAAGCAGAAUUUCUAGUGUAGAGGUGAAAUUCGUAGAUAUUAGAAAGAAUACCAAUUGCGAAGGCAGCUUUCUGGAUCAUGA
rnacentral:rRNA from 1 species